GAACACCCAUUUGAACUUAUCAAGACUUUGUCUUGUGGCGUUCAAACCAUCCCGAUCUUAUCACUUCCCUUCUCAUUUCUGUUUGGAGUGUAGCGAUCAACUAUACUGAUGGUUCUUAACUUUUUAUAGUUAGCGGGCUUCGAUCUUCCCUUUUUAUACCUUUCUAUUCCUUAACAACUUUAUAGAAAACGGGUCACAAUCUUCUAUAUCGUUGGCUCUUUUCUGGGUUGUCAAAGGUCCUAUCUUCUGUUAUCUUAUUAUUUUAAUUUUUGUUUCAACCUAUUCAAAGCGGC
rnacentral:lncRNA from 1 species